GACACGGUCCAAACUCCUACGGGAGGCAGCAGUGAGGAAUAUUGGUCAAUGGGCGAGAGCCUGAACCAGCCAAGUAGCGUGAAGGAUGAAGGCUCUAUGGGUCGUAAACUUCUUUUAUAUGGGAAUAAAGUUUUCCACGUGUGGAAUUUUGUAUGUACCAUAUGAAUAAGGAUCGGCUAACUCCGUGCCAGCAGCCGCGGUAAUACGGAGGAUCCGAGCGUUAUCCGGAUUUAUUGGGUUUAAAGGGAGCGUAGGUGGAUUGUUAAGUCAGUUGUGAAAGUUUGCGGCUCAACCGUAAAAUUGCAGUUGAAACUGGCAGUCUUGAGUACAGUAGAGGUGGGCGGAAUUCGUGGUGUAGCGGUGAAAUGCUUAGAUAUCACGAAGAACUCCGAUUGCGAAGGCAGCUCACUAGACUGUUACUGACACUGAUGCUCGAAAGUGUGGGUAUCAAACAGGAUUAGAUACCCUGGUAGUCCACACAGUAAACGAUGAAUACUCGCUGUUUGCGAUAUACAGUAAGCGGCCAAGCGAAAGCAUUAAGUAUUCCACCUGGGGAGUACGCCGGCAACGGUGAAACUCAAAGGAAUUGACGGGGGCCCGCACAAGCGGAGGAACAUGUGGUUUAAUUCGAUGAUACGCGAGGAACCUUACCCGGGCUUAAAUUGCACUCGAAUGAUCCGGAAACGGUUCAGCUAGCAAUAGCGAGUGUGAAGGUGCUGCAUGGUUGUCGUCAGCUCGUGCCGUGAGGUGUCGGCUUAAGUGCCAUAACGAGCGCAACCCUUGUUGUCAGUUACUAACAGGUGAUGCUGAGGACUCUGACAAGACUGCCAUCGUAAGAUGUGAGGAAGGUGGGGAUGACGUCAAAUCAGCACGGCCCUUACGUCCGGGGCUACACACGUGUUACAAUGGGGGGUACAGAAGGCGGCUACCUGGUGACAGGAUGCUAAUCCCAAAAACCUCUCUCAGUUCGGAUCGAAGUCUGCAACCCGACUUCGUGAAGCUGGAUUCGCUAGUAAUCGCGCAUCAGCCAUGGCGCGGUGAAUACGUUCCCGGGCCUUGUACACACCGCCCGUCAAGCCAUGAAAGCCGGGGGUACCUGAAGUACGUAACCGCAAGGAGCGUCCUAGGGUAAAACUGGUAAUUGGGGCUAAGUCGUAACAAGGUAGCCGUACCGGAAGGUGCGGCUG
rnacentral:rRNA from 1 species